UACGUAGGGUGCAAGCGUUGUCCGGAAUUAUUGGGCGUAAAGAGCUCGUAGGCGGUUUGUCGCGUCUGCUGUGAAAACUCGGGGCUUAACCCCGGGCCUGCAGUGGGUACGGGCAGACUAGAGUGCGGUAGGGGAGACUGGAAUUCCUGGUGUAGCGGUGAAAUGCGCAGAUAUCAGGAGGAACACCGGUGGCGAAGGCGGGUCUCUGGGACGGUACUGACGCUGAGACGCGAAAGCGUGGGGAGCAAACAGG
rnacentral:rRNA from 1 species